rnacentral:rRNA from 1 species
AGAGUUUGAUCAUGGCUCAGAUUGAACGCUGGCGGCAGGCCUAACACAUGCAAGUCGAGCGGUAGAGAGAAGCUUGCUUCUCUUGAGAGCGGCGGACGGGUGAGUAAUGCCUAGGAAUCUGCCUGGUAGUGGGGGAUAACGUUCGGAAACGGACGCUAAUACCGCAUACGUCCUACGGGAGAAAGCAGGGGACCUUCGGGCCUUGCGCUAUCAGAUGAGCCUAGGUCGGAUUAGCUAGUUGGUGAGGUAAUGGCUCACCAAGGCGACGAUCCGUAACUGGUCUGAGAGGAUGAUCAGUCACACUGGAACUGAGACACGGUCCAGACUCCUACGGGAGGCAGCAGUGGGGAAUAUUGGACAAUGGGCGAAAGCCUGAUCCAGCCAUGCCGCGUGUGUGAAGAAGGUCUUCGGAUUGUAAAGCACUUUAAGUUGGGAGGAAGGGCAGUAACUUAAUACGUUGCUGUUUUGACGUACCGACAGAAUAGA